GGAUAGAUGGCCGAGUGGUCUAAGGCGAUAGUUUUGAAAACUGUUGUAAUUAAUAGUUACCGUGGGUUCGAAUCCCACUCUGUCCU
rnacentral:tRNA from 3 species